UUGGUUAGUAGCUGACAUGCCACCCACCAAACUUACUUAAAAGUAUUCAAUACAUUCAUUCUUCUGUACCUUGUAUUUCUUGGAAGUGGAUGUUGAAAGAAGUUGAUAGUAGUUUUUGGAAAACAUCAUCAUUAAUCAUAUUCAAUUGAGCAAAUUUACUUCCUGUUUGGUUGGCAAGUUUUGACAAGCGCUUAAUUUCAUUUGACCUUGCCUUAGUUCGAGGUGUAUCAACAAUGUGACAUAACCUGUCUUCAUUAACCAAUACAUUUGGAUGCCAAAAAAAGUCUGAUAUUUCAUUUGGACCCCCAGCUGUUUUUGCCCUUGAAAGUGCUACAAAGAGAGCUCCGGGAUUCUUUGACUCAAAAGACUUUGUACCUGGAUCAAUAACUAUGUAGCGAUUUGUUUCACCAUGUCCGAUUGUCAUGCCUUGACAUCGGUGAAUUGUUGUACCCCAGGCAAGCCUUAAAGGUAAUUGUUUUCGUUUGCAACCAUGACAAUAACAUUCCACUUUUCUUUCUGCAGGUACAAGAGGGACAAUGCAUGGGUUGUUUUUCAUAAAAGGUGGUCCUGUGUACCUUGGGAAAUGCACCAUAACAACAUCUGGUUGACAAAGAGGUGGUUUGUUACCAUUACAGUAUAUAAUGUCAACUAUGGUCCCAAUGGAGCCAUUGAACAAACCAUAGGGAACAUUAAGAUUGCAGAUUUGCACUGUUACCUGUGGGACAAAGGACUUGGACAGAAUCAUGAGAAUGGAACAAGUGUCUUAUUGCCUGUACAAGACAUUUAAUGAGGAACGACUUGCCAGAGCCAGCAGUUCCACUGACCACUAGUCGAAGAGGUGUAUAUGGCCGUGACAAAUAUUUAUCCAGAGGUGUACUUUUUGUGCAAGUGUUGCCAGUUUUUUCAAGUACCCUGGACCCAGACAUGCUUACUGACUGAAACUGGUGACUGCUGUGAAACAAAGAUUCAGGUGGUGCGGGUGCAUUUCCCUCGGGAGGAGGCCACAGAUCCUUGUUUGGAUUACCAGAGGCAUCAGAACCGGCAGGAUGCAUUGCGGUCAUUGCAAAAUUUUGCUGUGCCCACUCAGAGAGCUUACUGGCACAGACAUCUUCAUCCAGACCGUUUUUCAAAGCCUCAUGAAGAAGAUUGUGUGGUUCUCUGUCAGAUCUCCAACAUAGUCCAUGAAAGUGAAUCAUGCCUCUGGAUUUGGCAAACUCAUACCUGUACCAGAAAGUAUCAACCUUAAAUGCAGUUUUCAUUACAGUUUCAAAGUAUUCUUGUGUCCGAAGAUUAAAGUAAUGUGAGACAAUGUGACUGUUAUUUUGAAGAAUAGAAAAUAGAAUUUUUUUGUCGUUAAGAUCAACAAUUUCACCAGUUGUUUGUAGAUUGUAUUGAGUUAAAAGUCUCCUUAGUGGUGCAAAGUAAAAUUCAGCACAGCUAGCAGUGCUGAAAAAUGAAGGAAGGCCUUUUCCAGCAUUUAUUUGGUACUGAAUAAGUGCUCUUAACUCUUGUGCUCUUCUGGACCAGUAUUGUGAAGUUCCUCGAAGAGAAGCACCAAAGUACAAGAUUUUUUGUGCAAUAGAACUAUCACCAUUUUGAAUUCUUUGCUUAAGGUCAUCGAUGGACAUGUGCUCAUCACCGAUCUGUUGUUUCAUGAUGUAUGUGCUCUGUUCUAAAGCUCUUUUACGUGAAAUAAUUUUAUGAACUAUGAACUGAAAGUACUUGUGUUGUGCAAAACGACCGUCUGUGUACCAUAUCAAAUGUUCUGCCCAUUCACUCAUUGAAAAGCAAGUUCUUGGCCGAUUUAUGUGAAAGUCACCAACACAAUUGGGAAACAAACAUGGAAAUGCAAGAGUAAAAAAAUAUUGAGUUGUAAACUCUGAAACUGGACUAUUGUCUCUUGUUGGCCAUGGAAUAGUUACUGUUUUUUUUCUCGAACAUUUUUCUUUACUUUUAGGAUCUGUAAUUUCUUGUAAAAUGGAUUCAAUGUUAUUUCUAAUAUUAACUGAUUCGUCUGGUAGUUGAACAGCUGAAACAGUAUCGCCAUUUAUUUCAUCAGGUGAUACUUGUUCUUUAGCUGGCCCUUGGUCUUUAUCAGUUGUGCUUUCAAAAUUACUUUUGAUUGUUUCAAGAUUUAUUUCCCCAUUUUCAGGAAGAAGAUUAAGUCUAUCUUGACUAAUAGUUAUAUCUGAGUAGGCCACAUUGUUGGAUUUAAGCCAAUUCAGUGCUGAUUGAACUGCAAAACGCCUAACUUUAAAGUCUUUGUGUAUUGCAUUAUUUCCAGUUUUACGGACACAAAUUAUCUGAAUAUCUGUUGGAAGUUUCGGUAAAAUUUGACAUGGUUCAUUUAUAUUUUGUGGAAAUUUAA